AUACUGCCUCUAGUGAACUACUGAAAAGUUACCUGUACAAAACUGGAAAUCAUUACCUAUUAUUAGACCUUGUGGUCAGUGUGAAAAUUGCAGGCUUGUAUAAAUUUUUUAAAUAUAGAUAGUGACA